rnacentral:snoRNA from 14 species
UGUCCGAUGCCACGUCGACGGUAGCUAUUUUUGGCAAUGAUCCUCGAUGCUACAUUGGACAUAGACAAAUGUACGUGUUUCGCUUACUGAUAGGAACCUGUGGAUCUUGAUUCUAUACGAUCUCCGGAGCCAUUUCGGCGAUUACAUUU